GGAUUCGGGAGAGACUGUAAAGCAGCGCCGAAGGUGAAGUUGUAGUAAACUCUCAGGCAAAAGGACCGGAU
rnacentral:ncRNA from 1 species